rnacentral:rRNA from 1 species
GGACUACCGGGGUAUCUAAUCCUGUUUGCUACCCACGCUUUCGCGCCUCAGCGUCAGUUGAUGACCAGUUUGCUGCCUUCGCCAUGGGUGUUCCUCCUGAUAUCAACGCAUUUCACCGCUACACCAGGAAUUCCACAAACCUCUUCAUCACUCCAGCUCGCCAGUAUGUAAAGCAGUUUCCGGGUUGAGCCCUGGAGAUUUCACUUCACACUUAACGAGCCGCCUACGCGCUCUUUACGCCCAGUAAAUCCGGACAACGCUUGGACCCUACGUCUUACCGCGGCUGCUGGCAC